GGCGGUGCUUUAUAUCCUUCUAGAGGAGCCUGUUCUAUAAUCGAUAAACCCCGAUAAACCUCACCAAUUCUUGCUAAUACAGUCUAUAUACCGCCAUCUUCAGCAAACCCUAAAAAGGAAAAAAAGUAAGCGUAAUUAUGAUACAUAAAAACGUUAGGUCAAGGUGUAACCUAUGAAAUGGGAAGAAAUGGGCUACAUUCUCUACACUAAGAGAAUCAAGCACGAAAGUUAUUAUGAAACCAAUAACCAAAGGAGGAUUUAGCAGUAAACUAAGAAUAGAGUGCUUAGUUGAAUUAGGCCAUGAAGCACGCACACACCGCCCGUCACCCUCAGCA
rnacentral:rRNA from 1 species